UUUUAAGGCGCAGACACUAUAACAUGCGACUCAGUGGGCGGUUCAAUACGCUCUCCGCGCGUACGGCCGAGUCACGCGGUGGUAACGUACCGUUUUGGUUCGGAACAGCACACGGUAAACUUGUGCUAGUGCCGGACAAGCCCUUACAGGGAAAGAUUUAUCGCGGAAAGAUCGGGCCGAGUCUGAUUAGCUAUGUGGCGAGGUUAUGACUCACCCAGGCGACCAUCACUAACUGGCCUGAUAGGAUGAUCAUUCACAUUGGGACUGAGACACGGCCCAAACUCCUACGGGAGGUUGCCGUGGUCAAUAUUGUACUAUGGGGGCAACCCUGAUCCACCCAUGCCGCGGGAGUGAUGAAUGCCCUAGGCUUGUGAAGCUCUUUUGUGUCGUUACAUAAUGUCGGUACCGCUCGAAUAAGCCCCGGUUAACUUCGUGCCACCAGCCGCGGUAAUACGGAUGCGGCUAGCGUUGCUCGUAAUCACUGCCCGUACUGGGUGUGUAAGCGGGUCUUUAAGUCAUGCGUGAAAUCCUGAAGCUCAACUCCUGAACUGCCUUUGAUACUGAACAUCUUGAGUUCCGUAGAGGUGAGUGCAACUGCCAGUGCUCAGCGUGAAAUUCUGUAUAUAUUCGCUAAGAUCACCAGCUAGCUGAGGCAGCUCACUAGGCCCGAUACUGACGUCUGAUUACACGCAAAGCAGUGGCCAGGCAAACCAUGAUUCAUAUAUCCCUGGGUAGUCCUUCUCCUGUAAUACAAAUGAAAUGGCCUCGCCGUUAAGUGAGGUCUUACUUCCCUAACUUGGGGCUGCCUUAACGGCUUUUAAUCCAUUUAACUUCCUGCGGGAAAAAACGG
rnacentral:rRNA from 1 species